CCCUGCUCCGCAGGAUUCGAACCUGAGAGCCAGCCGGCGUCCUACAGCGUGCGGGUCGGUGGCGAGGCCUUGGCAGACGGGGCUCCCGGACGUUCCCUCCGCCGGAAGGAGUGAUAUCCUGAGAGAAGAUGGGCAAGGGCUGCAAGGUUGUAGUUUGUGGAUUGUUAUCUGUGGGGAAAACGGCAAUUUUGGAGCAGCUUCUUUAUGGGAAUCAUACUAUUGGGAUGGAAGACUGUGAAACGAUGGAAGAUGUGUACAUGGCUUCAGUGGAAACAGACCGGGGGGUGAAGGAACAGUUACACCUUUAUGACACCCGAGGCCUACAGGAAGGCGUGGAGCUGCCAAAGCAUUAUUUUUCAUUGGCUGAUGGCUUUGUUCUUGUGUACAGUGUGAAUAACCUUGAAUCCUUUCAAAGAGUGGAGCUUCUAAAGAAAGAAAUUGAUAAGUUCAAAGACAAAAAAGAGGUAAACGGAGAUGUUAAAAGUGCCAGAUGUGAAUUAUAAUCCUCUUUAAACGGUAGCAUGGACUUUUGGGUACUUUGAUUAUUUAAAAGGAUUAAAUUGUAGUCCCAGUAUGUGUAAUCUUCAGAAUUUUUUUCUUAGUCCAGUAAAUACGGGGCCGAUUACGAUUGAUCAGGACCAGCAUUUGACUUUCUGCCUUUUGCUUACUGCCAUGUCGAAUUUUAAUGACUUCGUAUCUUGACUACUAUGCAGUUUAAUUUUGUGUUGUUUGGGGUCAUUGUUUUUCUUCUUCUUAAUUAUUAUUAUUUUUAUUUAUUUAUUGUGCUUUAAGUGAAGUUUACAAAUCAAGUCAGUCUCUCAUACAAAAAGCUAUACACACCUUGCUAUGUACUCCUAGCUGCUCUCCCCCUAAUGAGACAGCACACUCCUUUUCUCCUCCCUGUAUUCCCCGUGUCCAUUCCAGCCAGCUCCUGUCCCCUUCUUCCUUCUCAUCUCGCCACCAGACAGGAGUUGCCCACAUAGUCUCAAACGCCUCAUUGGCUAAAUAGACAACCUUCACAUGGCCGACUCAUCAUCUAGGGAACCAUAUAACGUACUGGAUAAGAGCACUGGCUGGAUGCACUUAACCUAGAUGUUUAUAUUUUAUUUAUUUUAAUAUUAAAUUUUUUAUUUUGAGAUGAUUGUAGAUUUACAUGCAGUUGUAAUAAUAGAGAGAUCCUGUACCCAGUUUUGGUAACAUCUUGCACAGCUGUAACAUCACAAGGAUAUGGACAUUGAAACAGACAAGAUGCUGAAAUUUCCAUCCCUACAAGGAUCCUUCUUGUUACCCUUUUAUAGCCACACCUACCUCCCUCCUACCUCACCCCUUCUUAGCCCCUGGCAACAACUAAUCUCUUCUCCAUUCCUGUAGUUUUGUCAUUUCAAGAAUAUUAUAUAAAUGGAAUCAUACAGUAUGUAAUCUUUUGGGAUCAACUUUUUUUUUUUUUCAUUCUGCAUAAUUUCCUGGAGAUUCAUCCAAGUUGUUGCAUAUAUACCAAGUGCCUGCUAGGUGAGAAUGAUAUUAGUUUCAUUUUUCUUCAUAUGAAGGAGGUUGAGUACCUUUUGACUUGUUUUAAAAUGAUCACUUUGACUGCUUUGUUGCCAAUAGACAGUUGGAGGACAAGGUGAAAGAAAGUUCAGCUGAAACACUAUUACCCUGUGGCAUCUUAACAUCUACAAGUUGGAGCGUUGAGGAGAAACCAGCAAAGAAGUCUGAGUAGUAGUGGCCACUGAGGUAGAAGGAAAACCAAGAGAUAGGGGUGUCCCAGUAGGCAAGUAAAGCCAACACGUUAAAAAGGAGGGAGUGAUCAAACUAAGUCAUAUAUUGCAGGUAGGUCGAAAAUGCCAAGGACUAAGAAUUGGCCGUUGUCUUUAAUCCACGUGGAGGUCUCGACAAGAACAGCUUUAGUAAAAUAGUGAGAUGAAGCCUGAUUGGAGUGAAUAUAAGAGAAUUGAACACAGCAAACACAGUUCUUUGAAAGAAUUUUGCUGUAAAGGGGAACGACUGGCAUAGGAGCUGGAGAAGGUUGUGGUGUAAAAAUUGGUUUGUUUUUUUUAAGAUGAGCAAUAACGUUGUUUGUACUAAUGAUGAUAAUUCCACAGAGAGGAGAACGCUGGUGAUGUAGGCGAGGGCAUACUUGCUGGACUGACAUCCUUGUCCUGGUAAAGGGAUGGGUUGCAGAGUGUCCAUGGACGUAGAAAAUGGCAGGUCGUUGGAUGUGUGGAAGGUUGUGGACGUUCUCUCCUAAUUGCUUCCAUUUUCUUACCGAGACAGAUGGUCAUCAGGUGAGAGUAAAGUGGAGAAAGGGAGAGAUGUUGGAAGUUGGAGGAGAAAGGACCAAGGUAUGAGAUAUUAUCUAGCUGUAGAGUAAAUGGAGGAAAUGUAAUAUAUUUACUGAAGAACAUCAGCCCACUUGAGGUCAGAGGUUAUGAAUUGGGACGUGCCAGCAGUGUUCUGUGUUUUUCUCCAGCCAUGAUCAAGUAUGUAGUGUAGGCACGGGGUAGGAGUUUUGCUAGGUGAAUUUGAUAGGAUAAAAUGGUAAAGGGAGUGAAUAAAAAGGAUCUAUCUUAGCUGGAUAAGGAAGAACUGAGGAAUUAAAGGGGGUAGAGGGGCAGUGAUAAACGUGGUAGAGAUAGUGCGAUUGUGGUGUUUAGAAUUGUUGGAGCCAGAGUGUUAGGUGUGAACUAGGAAGGUAGGAGACGAUGGUCAGAAUGGGAGGCUUGGAACGAGAUCAGGAAGGGGAGUAGUUAUUGUAAUGACAAGGUCUCACAUGUGAUCAUGGGAGUCAUUGGCUGAGGUAAGGAGGAUGAUGAGAUCAUUGGAGAGGUCAAGGAACUGAGAUACCAGGUUUUUGGAAGGGUCACCUACAUGGUUAGUGAAAUCACUAGGAAUGAAGACAGUAGUGUGGGAGCAAGCAUGAGUCAGGUCUGUGAUAAGCAGCAACGAGGAGGGAUAGGAGGGAGUAGACUAAGGGCAUGAGCCUUCAGCAGGCGUUUUUAGGGAAGGACACUGUUGGAGGCAGCACUGAGGGACAAAGGGGGCACCUUAACACCUCCUGUCUCCCAGCCACAGUGGUCGUUGUAGGAGGGGAGUGGUAAGGAAAGCAAGGUUGAGAGGGCUGCAGGGCUGAGCCAACUUUCAGUGAGGCAAGAAGGUGAACGAACAUUCAGAACAGAGGUGGUGGGAGAUACAGGGAGAUUUUUUGAGGGGGCAGAAUGUAAGUUUCAGCAGUUGGGGAGGAGCAGGAGAGGGGAGUCAGACCAGGGCACGUACAUGAAGAUGAAAAUCUGAGUGAUGAGGAAUGACAGGAGGGCUUGAAGGGAGAGCUCCUGCUGAGGGAUGGAGGAGUCCAAGAGUUGCCAAGAGAAUGGGAGGUCUGGGGCCUACUCUUCAAUCCUGCAGGAAGGUGUGGCCUUACAUGGAGUACUGGGGGUCCAAUCUGUAUCCUAGAUAUUAAUUUCCCAAAUGAGUUCUAUUAAUACGUAAGUUAAAACCUCAUCAGCUGUUAAUUCAAGCAUCAGCAUUGUUAACAAAAAUGGCUUCAGGAAUUAGGAGUGAGGUGCUAUCCUACUGUCUUAUUCAGGUUACAAUGGACCAUCAGUAUUAAUGAAGCAGUUUGUUAAAGGGCAGUUGUCCCUAUUUCUCCAUUUUUUAUAGGGCUACCUUUGGCAAAGUAUGAGUGUCUUAGUUACUGAGUGCUGCUGUAACAGAAAUACCACAAGUGGGUGACUGAAGAAACAGGUUUUUAUUUUCUUAGAGUUUAGGAGGCUAGAAGUCUGAAUUCAGAGUGCCAGUGCUAGGGGAGGGCUUUCUCUGUUGGCUUGGAGAAAGGUCCUUGUCUCCUUGAGGUUCUGUGUCUGGACAGACUUCAUGUGGCUUGGCAUCUCUCUUCCCUCAUCUCGUCUCACUUGUUCAAUCUCUUUUAUAACUCAAAAGAGACUGGCUGAAGAUACACCCUACAUUAACCUUGUCUCAUUAACAAAACAAAGACAAAAUCCAUUCCCAAAUGAGAUUAUAACCACAGGCAUAGAAGUUAGGAUUUACAACACAUAUUUUGGGAGGACAUAAUCCAAUCCAUAACAUUCUACCCUUUGGCCCCCCAAAAUUUAUGUCCUUGCCACAUGCAAAACAUACCCCAUCACAUCAUCCCAAAAGUUUUAAAUCCACUCCAAGUCCAAAAUCUCAUCUUCUGAAUCACCUAAAUCAAAUAUGAGUGAGACUUUAGGCUUAGUCCAUCCUGGGACAAAAUUCUUCAUCUGUGAACCUGUGAAAUCUGGAAUACAAGUUAUAUGUUUCCAAAGUACAGUGGUGGAACAGGCACAAGGUAGGCAUUGCCAUUACAAAUGGGAGAAAUUGGAGGGAAAGGGAUAACAGGCACCAAGCAAGUCUAAAACCCAGCAGAACAAAUCACAUUGGCUCUCAAGGUUUGAAAAUAAUCCCCAGUUCUCUGAAACCAUGUGGGCAUUGGCCCUGUCCUCCAGACUCUAGGUGUUGGCCACACCUCCUGGAUUCUGGGUGGAGACCGGUCAGCCCUGGGCUUCAGCUCUGCCUUCCAGCCCACUGGGACAGCAACUGUACUCCCUCAGCUUUGGGUGGCCCCCUUCUCCUAGCCCAUUUGAGUGGCAACACCACCUCCUCGGCUCCUAGCAGGCCCUAUUCUUCUGCCCCUUGGGCAUGGCAGCCCUGACCCCUCUGCUUUGGGCAGCAGCCCCAUCCCUCUGGCACACCUUAACAGUAGCCCUAUACUCCAGAAGAUCCAACUCUUUGAAACUCAGGAGGCUGUGGCCCCACCCUUUGAGACCAAGGCAACUCUGCUUCCUGUGCUCCUUCCAACAGUUCUGCUGAUCUCUGAGCUGCUCCAGGGAUAGUUUUUUUCUUGGAGGACAACAGAUGUAGCUCCUUUGGCUUGUUUUCUGCCUGUAGAAUUCCAAGAGGCUGACAGCAUUCUCUUUCCAUUCCUUCUCUGUCCCUUUCAGUCUAAGCUGAUGCGUUUUCUGCUGUGGUAGUUGGUUACAUCCACCAGUCACAGGUUUAUUCUCUUUAACAAGUUUGUGUAGCCACGUCCAUGGUGAACAUUCUAGGACAUGUGUCCUUAGGUUGUACAGUUUUCCAAAUCUUUUAAGUUCUGUUUUCAUUUUGCACAGUUCAUUUUGAAGUCCAUCUCUUUCCUCUCACAUCUUAUAAGCAGCCUCUUUAAAAUCUUGCUUAGAAAUCUUCUCAGCCAGAUGAAUUCAUCACUUAUGAAUCCUACCUUCCACCAAACAUUUGAACAAAACUCACACAAGUUCUUUGCCACUGCAUAAGAAGUAUUGCUCUUCCUCCAUUGUCCAGUCACAUGGUCAUCAUUUUAAAGCCUCACCAGAAGCACAUUUCAUGUCCACAUUUCUAGCAGCAUUCUUUGUUGGCGCCAUAUGUAUGCUCUAUGAUAGAGACUUCCUCUAUAGCUCUCCCCACUUCCUUCGGAGCCCUCAUCAGAAUCACCUUUGGCAUCCAUAAUUCUACCAACAAUCCCUUCUGGGCAAUCUAGGCUUUUACUAUUAGGGACCUUAACUCUUCCAGCCUCUCCCUGUUACCCAAUGUCAUAACUUCCACAUACUAGGUAUUUGUUAGAGCAGCACCCUUACUUCUUGGUACCAGACCCUUAGCUGUCUAGUGCUGCUAUAACAGAAAUACCACAGGUGGGUAGCUUUAAGAAACAAAUUUGUUUUCUUACUGUUUAGGAGGUUGGAAGUCUGAAUUCAGGGUGCCCGCUCUAGAGAAAGGCUUUCUCGGUUGACUUGGAGAAAGGUCCUCGUCUCUGAACUUCUGCUCCUGGGUGAUCGUCCCGUGGCUUGGCAUGUCUCUUCCUCGUCUCUGCUCUGCUCGCUUGUUUUAAUCUCUUUUAUAUCUCAAAAGAGACUGACUCAAGAUAUACCCACACUGAUCCUGCCUCAGUAACAAGGACAACCCAUUCCCAAGUGGGAUUACAGUCACAGGCAUAGAGGUAGCAAUUGUUGUGCUAGGCAACAAACUCGACCUUUCCGAGCAGAGACAAGUGGAUGCUGAGGUGGCACAGCAGUGGGCAAAAAGUGAGAAAGUGAGACUGUGGGAGGUUA